rnacentral:rRNA from 1 species
UACGGAGGGUGCGAGCGUUGUCCGGAAUCAUUGGGCGUAAAGGGCGCGUAGGUGGCCCCUCAAGCGGGCGGUGAAAGUCGGGGGCUCAACCCCCGAUCGGCCGUGCGAACUGGGGGGCUGGAGCACUGUAGAGGCAGGCGGAAUUCCGGGGUGUAGCGGUGGAAUGCGUAGAGAUCCGGAAGAACACCGGUGGCGAAGGCGGCCUGCUGG